rnacentral:rRNA from 1 species
AACGAACGCUGGCGGCAGGCCUAACACAUGCAAGUCGAACGCCGUAGCAAUACGGAGUGGCAGACGGGUGAGUAACGCGUGGGAACAUACCCUUCGGUUCGGAACAACUCAGGGAAACUUGAGCUAAUACCGGAUACGUGCGAGAGCAGAAAGAUUCAUCGCCGAAGGAUUGGCCCGCGUUCGAUUAGCUAGUUGGUGAGGUAACGGCUCACCAAGGCGACGAUCGAUAGCNGGUCUGAGAGGAUGAUCAGCCACAUUGGGACUGAGACACGGCCCAAACUCCUACGGGAGGCAGCAGUGGGGAAUAUUGGACAAUGGGCGCAAGCCUGAUCCAGCCAUGCCGCGUGAGUGAUGAAGGCCCUAGGGUUGUAAAGCUCUUUCAUCAGGGACGAUAAUGACGGUACCUGAAGAAGAAGCCCCGGCUAACUUCGUGCCAGCCGCCGCCGUAA